CUCUGCUGACGUCAACAAGGGAGCAUGGAGCUGGAAUAAGGUAAGCUGCUGAAGAGGUGGGAGCACCUUCAGGGCACUAUAGUGUCAGGAAAACUGCUUUGUUUUCCUGACACUAUAGUGAUCCUUUAAGAUGUGAAACGGGAGUGAGGAAAUCAGCUGUAUUGACUUGCGCACCACGGAAUACACAAGGAUAUCAAGUUACU